rfam:Picea glauca, whole genome shotgun sequence.
ACAUGCCUACAACAUAGCGUUAAUGCACCGGAUCCUAUUAGAACUCCAUAGUUAAGCGCUCUCAGGCUAGAGUAGUAUUGGGAUUGGUGACCGCCCGGGAAGUCCUAGUAUUUUACAUGCC